rnacentral:rRNA from 1 species
UACGUAGGGGGCAAGCGUUGUCCGGAAUCAUUGGGCGUAAAGCGCGUGUAGGCGGUCCGGUAAGUCCGCUGUGAAAGUCGGGGGCUCAACCUGUGAAUGCCGCAGGAAACUGUCUGGCUUGAGUCCGGAAGGGGCGAGUGGAAUUCCCGGUGUAGUGGUGAAAUGCGUAGAUAUCGGGAGGAACACCAGUGGCGAAGGCGACUACCUGGCCUGUUUCUUGACGCUGAGGCGCGAAAGCUAGGGGAGCAAACGGG